rnacentral:tRNA from 1 species
GGUUAUGGCUCAGUGGUAGAGUGGUCGUCUAGCACAUGCAAGGUACUGGGUUUGAUCCUCAGCACCA